UUCCCAACAACAGGAUCGAACUGUUGACCUUCACGUAUCUCAUGGAUCGAUGCUCGAUGCAUGCAUAUUAGCGUGACGCUCUAACCAGCUGAGCUAGUCGGGA
rnacentral:tRNA from 1 species